rnacentral:rRNA from 1 species
UUCCGGUUGAUCCUGCCGGAAGCCACUGCUAUUGGGGUUCGGCUAAGCCAUGCGAGCGGAGGGCGCGGUCGAAAGAUCGUGGCCCCGCACACGGCUCAGCAACACGUAGUCAACCUACCCUUGGGACGGGGACAACCUCGGGAAACUGAGGCUAAUCCCCGAUAGGCGAGGGACGCUGGGAUGCCCUCUCGCCCAAAGCUCCGGCGCCCAAGGAUGGGACUGCGACCUAUCGGGCUGUUGGUGGUGUUACGGACCACCAAACCUACGACGGGUACGGGCGAUGGGAGUCGGAGCCCGGAGAUGGGGACUGAGACAAGGCCCCAGGCCCUACGGGGCGCAGCAGGCGCGAAAACUCCGCAAUGCGUGCAAGCGUGACGGGGGAAUCCCAAGUGCCGUUGGUCUUUUGAUCGACGGCUUUUCGGAAGUUUAAGCAGCUUCCGGAAUAAGGGCUGGGCAAGACUGGUGCCAGCCGCCGCGGUAACACCAGCAGCCCAAGUGGUGGCCACGAUUAUUGGGCCUAAAGCGCUCGUAGCCGGGCCAGCAAGUCCCUUGUGAAAUCGGACCGCCCAACGGUUCGGCGUGCAAGGGAUACUGUUGGUCUUGAGGCCGGGAGAGGUCUGAGGUACUCCUGGGGUAGCGGUGAAAUGCUCUAAUCCUGGGGGGACCACCAGUGGCGAAGGCGUCCGACCAGAACGGUCCUGACGGUGAGGGGCGAAGGCUAGGGGAGCGAACGGGAUUAGAUACCCCGGUAGUCCUAGCUGUAAAGCAUGCGGGCCAGGUGUCUAGCGCUCCUCGAGGGCGCUAGGUGCCGGAGGGAAGCCGUUAAGCCCGCCGCCUGGGAAGUACGGCUGCAGGCUGAACUUAAGAAAUUGGCGGGGGAGCACCACAAGGGGUGGAACCUGCGUUCAGUGGACUCACGCCGGU